rnacentral:rRNA from 1 species
UUUAGUGGCAUGUCCUGGACCCGAAGCGGGGUGAUCUACCCAUGGCCAGUGUGAAGCAGCAGUAAGAUGCUGUGGAGGCGCGAACCCACGUAGGUUGAAAACUGCGGGGAUGAGUUGUGGGUAGGGGUGAAAGGCCAAUCAAACUCCGUGAUAGCUGGUUCUCCCCGAAAUGCAUUUAGGUGCAGCGUCGCAUUAGCUUGGUGGAGGUAGAGCUACUGGUUGGUUGAGCGGGACUACAAUCUUAGCAAUGUCAGCCAAACUCCGAAUGCCAUCAAUGUGUUGUGCGGCAGUGAGACUGUGGGGGAUAAGCUUCAUAGUCGAGAGGGAAACAGCCCAGAUCGCCGGUUAAGGCCCCUAAGGGUGUGCUAAGUGGAAAAGGAUGUGGGAUCGCGAAGACAGCCAGGAGGUUGGCUUAGAAGCAGCCAUCCUUGAAAGAGUGCGUAAUAGCUCACUGGUCGAGUGGUUCCGCGCCGACAAUGUAGUGGGGCUCAAGCACACCGCCGAAGCCGCGGCAAAGAUAAGUAAUAUUGUUUUUGGGUAGGGGAGCGUCGUACAUGUUGUGAAGCGUUAGUGUAAACAGGCGUGGAUUGUGUACGAGUGAGAAUGCAGGCAUGAGUAACGAAUUGUAAGGUGAGAAUCCUUACCGCCGGAUGACUAAGGGUUCCUGGGUCAAGUUCGUCUUCCCAGGGUGAGUCGGGACCUAAGGCGAGGCCGACAGGCGUAGUCGAUGGACAACCAGUUGAUAUUCUGGUACCCGUAUAUAUGCGCCCAUGAUAAAGCAUUGAUACUAACCACCACUGA